GUACACGCCCGGUCCCAUUCCGAACCCGGAAGCUAAGCCCUCCAGCGCCGAUGGUACUGCACUCGACAGGGUGUGGGAGAGUAGGACACCGCCGAAC
rnacentral:rRNA from 1 species